UAUAUUUCGAAAAAUAAUGUCAUCCAAAAACAACCAGUUCAGCUUCAGACGCGGACAUUCAACCAAAGAAUCUCUAGCUUCUUUCUCACUAUAGCUUCUUUGAUUCAACUACUACGCAACUAGAGGUCAAAACUUCUCGGUUGAUGCUUCAAGAACUACUAACGAUAUCUCGUGCGCAGUUGCGUCUAGUUCAUGGUCGUGGCCUCCGCGGUUUAAACGAAGCAAAGGAGGGGUCCGCAAGAACAGCACGAGGAAAAAGCAACAACUUCAUAUAAUAGUAUAUAUAUCGUUGGGGGAAAAAAGUUUCUUAUCUCACUUACUUUCCUACUUAAUAAUGUAAACAAGAAAGACACACAAGCGCCAAUACUGUUAUUUUAUUUCAACUACAAAACAUUAUGACAGCAUUAAUUAAGUGGUACUCCCGAAUUCUUUCAAUUCACCCAUGGAAAACCCAGCUCUGUACGACAGGAUUUUUAAUGGGAUCUAGUGACUUAAUUGCACAAACAGCAAUUGAAAAAUGUGAACUGAAAGGAAUAGAAAUCUCCAGAGUUGCAAGAUUUGCAUUUCUUGGUGCUUGUUUUGUGGGUCCUGUUUUGCGUGUCUGGUACAAUGUUUUGGAGAAAGGCAUAGGUACGAUUGGCCGAACAGCUGGUUUAAAAAAGAUGUUAAUUGAUCAAUCCAUAUUUUCACCUUGUUUUAUUGGAUGCUUUCUGACUGUGUCUGGUUUACUCCAGUUACAACCAUGGCAUAAAAUAGGAGAAAAAAUUAAAAAGGAUUAUUUUGUUAUCUUGAAGACGAAUUACUUGAUAUUUCAGGAAUAAUUUCUGAAAAGUUUCCAUUUUGAUGACCUGGCUCUAAACUCCACAUCUUACUGUAGUUCUGCACAACUAUGAAAGGGCAGCUACUGUUAUAAGCUGUGGCCUGCUGCCCAACUUAUCACAUUCUAUGUUAUUCCUCUUGAACUGAGAAUUGUCUUUGUCAGCUGUGUUGCAUUGGUCUGGAAUACAUUCCUUGCAUGUCAAGCUAAUAAGAAUAUGUCUACAAAUU
rnacentral:misc_RNA from 1 species